UACGUAGGGACCGAGCGUUUGUCCGGAAUCAUUGGGCGUAAAGAGCGUGUAGGCGGCUAUUUAAGUCCUGCGUGAAAUCCUGCGGCUCAACCGCAGACGGUCGUGGGAAACUGGAUGGCUAGAGUGCGGGAGAGGAGAGUGGAAUUCCUGGUGUAGCGGUGAAAUGCGCAGAUAUCAGGAGGAACACCGAUGGCGAAGGCAGGUCUCUGGGCCACUACUGACGCUGAGAAGCGAAAGCAUGGGGAGCGAACAGG
rnacentral:rRNA from 1 species